rnacentral:lncRNA from 1 species
GAAAGUCCUUAACAAUGAUGAGUUUCUUUGUCCUCUUCUUAGUAUUUGCUUCAGGUAAUUUUCUUUGCUAAUAAAAGCUUUAUGUAGUUCUUUAUUGGUAUAUCAAUAGUUAUAUUAUCCCCAAACAUAUGUUCUUAUCCAUAUUUUACCACGUUUUUUUUAAUAAUAUGGUUUUUCACGAAUAUGGGAAAUGGAUUUGGUUUUCAUGACAAAACCUAUGUUUCCAUGCUUGCGAGGAAUUUUCAUUAAAAGCAUUCUUAUAUAUUAUAUCCAUGUAAACUAUUACUCAUGUGCAAAUAUUGUUACCCUCUCUGAGAUCCUAAUAGCAUCUAGAUAAUAUACACAAUCUUGCAUUAGUAUAAAAUUUAUAUUAAUAUUUGUAUAUAUUGUUUAAUCAGAAGAUGACAUGCAUUUUCAGGUUUGAAUAUUAAAAGUGAAGAUCAACCACUAGAAGGUGUGGUAGGUAAACCAUGCACAUCUAAUCAAGAUUGUGGUGGUUGUCCACCUUGUGAAGUUGAUUGUCUCAAACCAUGUUGUCUUUGCCUUAGGGGUCAAUGCAAAUGUACCAAUGGGCGAGGAAUACAUAAGUUGAAUUUUAUUGAAUAAAUGUGUUAUUUGAAUUAUAUUGAAUUCACAAGUUGAAUUCUAAUAAAUAAAUGUACUAUUUGAAUUCUAAUUAGUACACAUGCUGG